GAUGAACGCUGGCGGCGUGCCUAAUACAUGCAAGUCGAGCGAACGGACGAGAAGCUUGCUUCUCUGAUGUUAGCGGCGGACGGGUGAGUAACACGUGGAUAACCUACCUAUAAGACUGGGAUAACUUCGGGAAACCGGAGCUAAUACCGGAUAAUAUUUUGAACCGCAUGGUUCAAAAGUGAAAGACGGUCUUGCUGUCACUUAUAGAUGGAUCCGCGCUGCAUUAGCUAGUUGGUAAGGUAACGGCUUACCAAGGCAACGAUGCAUAGCCGACCUGAGAGGGUGAUCGGCCACACUGGAACUGAGACACGGUCCAGACUCCUACGGGAGGCAGCAGUAGGGAAUCUUCCGCAAUGGGCGAAAGCCUGACGGAGCAACGCCGCGUGAGUGAUGAAGGUCUUCGGAUCGUAAAACUCUGUUAUUAGGGAAGAACAUAUGUGUAAGUAACUGUGCACAUCUUGACGGUACCUAAUCAGAAAGCCACGGCUAACUACGUGCCAGCAGCCGCGGUAAUACGUAGGUGGCAAGCGUUAUCCGGAAUUAUUGGGCGUAAAGCGCGCGUAGGCGGUUUUUUAGUCUGAUGUGAAAGCCCACGGCUCAACCGUGGAGGGUCAUUGGAAACUGGAAAACUUGAGUGCAGAAGAGGAAAGUGGAAUUCCAUGUGUAGCGGUGAAAUGCGCAGAGAUAUGGAGGAACACCAGUGGCGAAGGCGACUUUCUGGUCUGUAACUGACGCUGAUGUGCGAAAGCGUGGGGAUCAAACAGGAUUAGAUACCCUGGUAGUCCACGCCGUAAACGAUGAGUGCUAAGUGUUAGGGGGUUUCCGCCCCUUAGUGCUGCAGCUAACGCAUUAAGCACUCCGCCUGGGGAGUACGACCGCAAGGUUGAAACUCAAAGGAAUUGACGGGGACCCGCACAAGCGGUGGAGCAUGUGGUUUAAUUCGAAGCAACGCGAAGAACCUUACCAAAUCUUGACAUCCUUUGACAACUCUAGAGAUAGAGCCUUCCCCUUCGGGGGACAAAGUGACAGGUGGUGCAUGGUUGUCGUCAGCUCGUGUCGUGAGAUGUUGGGUUAAGUCCCGCAACGAGCGCAACCCUUAAGCUUAGUUGCCAUCAUUAAGUUGGGCACUCUAAGUUGACUGCCGGUGACAAACCGGAGGAAGGUGGGGAUGACGUCAAAUCAUCAUGCCCCUUAUGAUUUGGGCUACACACGUGCUACAAUGGACAAUACAAAGGGCAGCGAAACCGCGAGGUCAAGCAAAUCCCAUAAAGUUGUUCUCAGUUCGGAUUGUAGUCUGCAACUCGACUACAUGAGGCUGGAAUCGCUAGUAAUCGUAGAUCAGCAUGCUACGGUGAAUACGUUCCCGGGUCU
rnacentral:rRNA from 1 species